rnacentral:rRNA from 1 species
UGAAUACGAGAUGCUACGGCGUCGAAGCAGUCUAUGUCAUACUUCCAAGAAAAGCUUGCACUGUCAUAAACAAAUAAUGCCUGUACCAUAACCGACACAGGUGGGUAGGUAGAGUAUACUAAGGGGCGCGAGAUAACUCUCUCUAAGGAACUCGGCAAAAUGACUCCGUAACUUCGGGAGAAGGAGUGCCUUAUUUAUAAGGUUGCAAUAACAAGAUCCAAGCAACUGUUUACCAAAAACACAGGUCUCCGCUAAGUCGUAAGACGAUGUAUGGGGGCUGACGCCUGCCCAGUGCCAGAAGGUUAAAGAAGUUGGUUAGCAUCCGCGAAGCUGAUAACUGAAGCCCUGGUGAACGGCGGCCGUAACAAUAACGGUCCUAAGGUAGCGAAAUUCCUUGUCGGGUAAGUUCCGACCCGCACGAAAGGCGUAAUGAUUUGGAUACUGUCUCGGAGAGGGGCUCGGUGAAAUAGACUUGUCUGUGAAGAUGCGGACUACCUGCACCAGGACAGAAAGACCCUAUGAAGCUUUACUGUAACCUGAAAUUGAAAUUGGACUUUACUUGCGCAGUAUAGGUGGGAGGCGUUGAGAAUAUUCUUGCGGGAUUAUUGGAGCCAUCAGUGAGAUACCACUCUUGUAAUGUUAGAUUUCUAACUUUGUAUCAUUAUCUGGUCAAAGAACAGUUUCAGGCGGGCAGUUUGACUGGGGCGGUCGCCUCCUAAACGGUAACGGAGGCGCACAAAGGUUUCCUCUGAACGGGUAGAAAUCGUAUCUAGAGUGUAAAGGCAUAAGGAAGCUUGACUGUGAGACCUACAAGUCGAGCAGGGACGAAAGUCGGUCUUAGUGAUCUGACGGUGCUGAGUGGAAAGGCCGUCACUCAACGGAUAAAAGUUACUCUAGGAUAACAGGCUGAUCUCCCCCAAGAGUUCACAUCGACGGGGAGGUUUGGCACCUCGAUGUCGGCUCAUCGCAUCCUAGGGCGGUAGUACGUCCCAAGGGUUGGGCUGUUCGCCCAUGAAAGCGGUACGCGAGCUGGGUUCAGAACGUCGUGAGACAGUUCGGUCCAUAUCCGGUGUAGGCGUUAGAAUAUUGAGAGGAGCCUUCUUUAGUACGAGAGGACCGAGUAGGACAUACCUCUGGUGUACCAGUUAUCGUGCCAACGGUAAACGCUGGGUAGCUAUGUGUGGAGUGGAUAACCGCUGAAAGCAUCUAAGUGGGAAGCCCACCUCAAGAUAAGUAUUCUCA